CCUACGGGGGGCUGCAGUGAGGAAUAUUGGUCAAUGGCCGAGAGGCUGAACCAGCCAAGCCGCGUGAGGGAAGACGGCCCUACGUAUUGUAAACCUCUUUUGUCGGGGAGCAAAGCGAGUCACGUGUCACUCAAUGAGAGUACCCGAAGAAAAAGCAUCGGCUAACUCCGUGCCAGCAGCCGCGGUAAUACGGAGGAUGCGAGCGUUAUCCGGAUUUAUUGGGUUUAAAGGGUGCGCAGGCGGAGGUGCAAGUCAGCGGUCAAAUCCCGGGGCUCAACCCCGGACUGCCGUUGAAACUGCAUGCCUUGAGUGCGCGAGAAGUAUGCGGAAUGCGCGGUGUAGCGGUGAAAUGCAUAGAUAUCACGCAGAACUCCGAUUGCGAAGGCAGCAUACCGGCGCGAAACUGACGCUGAUGCACGAAAGCGUGGGUAUCGAACAGGAUUAGAUACCCGAGUAGUC
rnacentral:rRNA from 1 species